rnacentral:lncRNA from 1 species
AGGAGUGUCCCAGUGUCCCCAGUGGGGGCUGGCAGUGUCCCCAGGGGUGUCCCAGUGUCCCCAAGGGGGGCUGGCAGUGUCCCCAGGGGUGUCCCAGUGUCCCCAAGGGGGGCUGGCAGUGUCCCCAGGGGUGUCCCAGUGCCACCACGGGUGUCCCAGUGUCCCCAAGGGGUGUCCCAGUGCCACCAGGGGUGUCCCCAAUGGGGUGUCCCUGUCCCCAAGUGGGUCUCAGUGCCACCAGGAGUGUCCCAGUGUCCCCAGUGGGGGCUGGCAGUGUCCCCAGGGGUGUCCCAGUGUCCCCAGGGGUGUCCCAGUGCCACCAGGGGUGUCCCCAAUGGGGUGUCCCUGUUGCCAAGGGAGCUCAAAGUGCCACCAGAGGUGUCCCCAUGUCCCAAUGGGGGGUGGCAGUGCCACCAGGGCUGUCCCAGUGUCCCCAGUGUGUGUCCCAGUGCCACCAGGAGUGUCCCCAUGUCCCCAGUGGGGAGUGGCAGUGUCACCAGUGAUGUUCCAGUGCCACCAGGGGUGUCCUUAUGUCCCAGCACCACCAGGGGUGUCCCCAAUGGGGUGUCCCACUGUCCCCAAGGGGGAGUGGCAGUGGGCAGUGCCACCAGGGGUGUCCCAGUGUCCCCACGGGGUGUCCCAGUGCCACCAGGGGUGUCCCCAAUGGGGUCUCAGUGCCACCAGGGGUGUCCCCAUGUCCCCAAGGGGGGGGUGGCAGUGCCACCAGGGGUGUCCCAGUGCCACCAGGGCUGUCCCCCUGUCCCCAAAGCGAUGUCCCCAAAGAGGUGCCGCUGCCUCACGAGCGUCCCCAUCCCCUCAGGGCUUCUCCCGGUGCCACCCGAGCCCUGUCCCGGUGCCACCCGAGCCCCGUCCCCUCAGGGCUUCUCCCGGUGCCACCCCGGGCCCAGUCCCGGUGCCACCCGAGCCCUGUCCCGGUGCCACCCGAGCCCUGUCCCGGUGCCACCCGAGCCCUGUCCCGGUGCCACCCGAACCCUGUCCCGGUGCCACCCGAGUCCUGUCCCGGUGCCACCCCGGCCCUGUCCCGGUACCACCCGAGCCCUGUCCCGGUACCACCCGAGCUCUGUCCCGGUGCCACCCGGGCCCUGUCCCGGUGCCACCCCGGCCCUGUCCCGGUAUCACCCCGGCCCUGUCCCGGUAUCACCCGGGCCCUGUCCCGGUAUCACCCGGGCCCUGUCCCGGUAUCACCCCGGCCCUGUCCCGGUACCACCCCGG